AUCUAUCUUUUAGUGCAACAGUAAGCAUUAAAUACUCAAAGUACAUAAAGUGCAAGGAAAAUUGAAGACUAUACAUGACAUAAUAAUAAUCAAAGUUGAAAAGGGGGUCGGAAAAUGUAAUAUAAACCUUCUUUUCCCAGACUUUGUUUUCCCAAAAAUGGUUAAUCUUUCUUGAGCAGCCUUAGUUGAAAGACCCUCACUGGUAGAUCUCAAGUUCUCAAACACUUCCUCAAUGGGAAUGUUCUCCUACACACAAACAAAGAAGAAAAACACACAUGAAACAUGUCAAAAAUGGACCCAUAAUUACUAUGAAACAAUUUACAUGAAAUAGAGUGCAAGUCCAAACAACGAGCAUAAAUCCAUGGUAAAGCAAGUUCAUUGACAUAGCCUUUCCCAUUAUUCCCAUCCCCAGAACUCAAUUUCCUCCAUUUCUAUUAGGUGCAAAAUUAAGCCUAAAAAUGCAAAUCCCCUCUCCUCUCGCUAUAUACACACAAUGCACGUAAGCCACCGAGCGCCUGGACAAUUGUGCAGAUAAAGCUGUGACCAUAUGCCAACGAUUGUGAUACUUGGGCUUUUCGGAGCUUAACCGUUUGGAUCUUCACUGCGAAGUAGACAAUUUCUAGGGUUUUAGAGGAGAGAUGUUGUGUGUUACAAUUGGUGAAUGGCAAAACAAUGGAUGUAAAGCCCAAAAAACAAUUAAUUUAGCCUUUCGAGAGAAAAUGAAUGGCAAAGAAAGGUUGUAAAAGCUGAAAAGCAAUUAAUUAAGCGUGUGAAAGAAGAUGGCAAAAGAAC
rnacentral:lncRNA from 1 species